UGGAAAUGUCCGGGAUGUAAGGAGCGUGGUCGCAAUCAUCCGUGCCGAGAAGUUGUUUUAUUAAUUCGUUUCGCUAUCGAGAACAAAACCUACCUGAACGCUUCAAAGCGCGAUCGUAGCCGGAUUGGUCUCUGGUCUUCUGUCUCCUUCCCCUCGCUGUCUCAGCUCUCCCUCUAUCACGUGUGAGUGAAGAUGUGAGACUUUACGUAUUGUGCAGCGAUCAUCACACGUCACAAAAAAAGUUUACUCCUGAAAAUUUUGACUUACAAGGUCGCUGCAAAGCCGAAGAUGAUUUCCACGCUCUACCCUGUCACCACACCCAAGCAAAGACCACCCUUCCCCUGUGACCGUCCUGAGAAGAAGUGAAUGGUGAACUUAACGCAGAGCACCCCCGACACUGAUAAUGAUUGGGAGCAGCCAUUCUGUAACUCGGAGACUUUAUGGAGAGUUGUUGUGGGUAAAACUGUGACCGGAAUUUCUCUGGUGAAUCCUGCCAUUUUGGGCAUUUAUUUGAUGCGCCCACUAUACAUGUGAGGAAAUAUUAAUCCAGGCCUGGGGUUUCAAUCACGGGCGCAAGUCGGGAUGCACCUAAAGCUGCGGCCGUAUCGUCGAUUGUGAAAAACGCCUGAUUUUAGUGGAAGGCGCCAGAAUUCCGCUGGCUGUGAACUGUCGUAAACCAGAGGAAGCCUCCUGAUACAACAGGUGCCAUGGAAACUCCAGUCACAACAGUGUGGCCACAUUCAACCACUGUCGAUGCCCAUCAGGCACCACCAGAACAUGCAAUUUGCAGAGCUUUUCAAAUUUUAAUGUGGACUUGCACUUUGAUAUAAAACAGAAUAAAACAAGUCAACUCACCAGAGUAGGUCUUGGUGAGGAUAAGUAUAUGUAUGUUCAUGGGCAUGCAUGUGUACACAAAACUAAAUGGCACCUCAGCUAUUGGGUGCCACUGUGCUCAUUUGUGUACAUUUAUCAGCCUUGGUUGCACCUGUGGAGUGUUGGAAUAUGCAGUAAAUAGCUCCUCACGUAUUCUAAAGCAUUUCCCCUCAAAAAAUCAUAUCACAUUGUCAUUAGAAAUAAUGCAGCACUUGAUACAAUUUCCAGUCAUAUGAGUCUUGUAUAUAUUGUGAUUGCAAUGUAUGUAACUCACAAGUAAA